CAGUAGCCGCGGUAAUACGGAGGGUGCAAGCGUUAAUCGGAAUUACUGGGCGUAAAGCGCACGCAGGCGGUCUGACAAGUCAGAUGUGAAAUCCCCGGGCUUAACCUGGGAACUGCAUUUGAAACUGUCAGGCUGGAGUCUUGUAGAGGGGGGUAGAAUUCCAGGUGUAGCGGUGAAAUGCGUAGAGAUCUGGAGGAAUACCGGUGGCGAAGGCGGCCCCCUGGACAAAGACUGACGCUCAGGUGCGAAAGCGUGGGGAGCAAACAGGAUUAGAUACCCGCGUAGCCCUGUCUCUUAUACA
rnacentral:rRNA from 1 species